AAAGUCGUAACAAGGUUUCCGUAGGUGAACCUGCGGAAGGAUCAUUACAAAUCAUUGCGAGUUUAAUUGGAUAGGUAGGUAGGUAGGUAAGGGCUUUACGGCUUUCUACUUGCUAACUAACUAACUAACUAAACGAGCACAUUGGCACAAGGUCGCGAGACCUUGAUGUUUACGCUUGUUUGUUUGACAGAGUAAAAUGUGACUAAAUAUAUACAACUUUUAACAAUGGAUCUCUUGGCUCUU
rnacentral:misc_RNA from 1 species